rnacentral:rRNA from 1 species
UCCAGACUCCUACGGGAGGCAGCAGUGAGGAAUAUUGGUCAAUGGGCGGGAGCCUGAACCAGCCAAGUCGCGUGAGGGAAGACGGUCCUACGGAUUGUAAACCUCUUUUGCCGGGGAGCAACGGGGUCCUUGCGAGGGCCCGAUGAGAGUACCCGGAGAAAAAGCAUCGGCUAACUCCGUGCCAGCAGCCGCGGUAAUACGGAGGAUGCGAGCGUUAUCCGGAUUUAUUGGGUUUAAAGGGUGCGUAGGCGGGCUUUUAAGUCAGCGGUAAAAAUUCGGGGCUCAACCCCGUCCGGCCGUUGAAACUGGGGGCCUUGAGUGGGCGAGAAGAAGGCGGAAUGCGUGGUGUAGCGGUGAAAUGCAUAGAUAUCACGCAGAACCCCGAUUGCGAAGGCAGCCUUCCGGCGCCCUACUGACGCUGAGGCACGAAAGUGCGGGGAUCGAACAGGAUUAGAUACCCCGGUAA